UACGUAGGUGGCAAGCGUUGUCCGGAUUUACUGGGCGUAAAGAGCGCGCAGGCGGUCGUUCAAGUCGCGUGUGAAAGCCCCCGGCUCAACUGGGGAGGGUCACGCGAUACUGAUCGACUCGAAGGCAGGAGAGGGUAGUGGAAUUCCCGGUGUAGUGGUGAAAUGCGUAGAUAUCUGGAGGAACACCGGUGGCGAAGGCGGCAUCCUGGACCAAUACUGACACUGAGGAGCGAAAGCCAGGGGAGCAAACGGG
rnacentral:rRNA from 1 species